rnacentral:rRNA from 1 species
UGAUGCAUACCGAACUGAAGUAGGGAAAUGUGUGAGCCAGCUGCCAAGAAAAGCCGCUAUUGUUUGUACUGUACCCGUACCGUAAACCGACACAGGUAGGUGAGGAGAGAAUCCUAAGGCCGACGGGAGAAGCAUUGUUAAGGAACUCGGCAAAAUGACUCCGUAACUUCGGGAGAAGGAGUGCCAGUGAGAGCUGGCCGCAGAGAAUUGGCCCAAGCAACUGUUUAGCAAAAACACAGGUCUAUGCAAAACCGUAAGGUGAAGUAUAUGGGCUGACGCCUGCCCGGUGCUGGAAGGUUAAGGGGAGAGGUUAGCGCAAGCGAAGCUUUGAACUUAAGCCCCAGUAAACGGCGGCCGUAACUAUAACGGUCCUAAGGUAGCGAAAUUCCUUGUCGGGUAAGUUCCGACCCGCACGAAAGGCGUAAUGAUUUGGGCACUGUCUCAACAAUGCACCCGGUGAAAUUGAAAUACCAGUGAAGAUGCUGGUUACCUGCGCCAGGACGGAAAGACCCCAUGGAGCUUUACUCCAGCUUGAUACUGGGAUUCGAUAUUGUAUGUACAGGAUAGGUGGGAGGCGAAGAAGCAUUGACGCCAGUUGAUGCGGAGCCGCUGUUGGGAUACCACCCUUGCAGUAUUGGAUUUCUAACCAGCAGCCGUGACCCGGCUGGGGGACAAUGUCAGGCGGGGAGUUUGACUGGGGCGGUCGCCUCCGAAAGGGUAUCGGAGGCGCUCAAAGGUUCCCUCAGAAUGGUUGGAAACCAUUCGAAGAGUGCAAAGGCAGAAGGGAGCUUGACUACGACACCGACGGGUGGAGCAGGUACGAAAGUAGGACUUAGUGAUCCGGUGGUAUAAAGUGGGAUUGCCAUCGCUCAACGGAUAAAAGCUACCCUGGGAUAACAGGCUUAUCACUCCCAAGAGUUCACAUCGACGGAGUGGUUUGGCACCUCGAUGUCGGCUCAUCGCAUCCUGGGGCUGAAGUAGGUCCCAAGGGUUGGGCUGUUCGCCCAUUAAAGCGGUACGCGAGCUGGGUUCAGAACGUCGUGAGACAGUUCGGUCCCUAUCCGGCGUGGGCGUAGGAUAUUUGAGAGGAGCUGGCCUUAGUACGAGAGGACCGGGCUGGACUGACCGCUGGUGUAUCUGUUGUUCCGCCAGGAGCAUGGCAGAGUAGCCAAGUCAGGAAGGGAUAAACGCUGAAGGCAUCUAAGCGUGAAGCCCCCCUCAAGAUGAGAUAUCCCAACGCAAGUUGUAAGACCCCUUGAAGACGACAAGGUAGAUAGGGCAGAGGUGGAAGUGCAGUAAUGCAUGGAGCUGACUGUUACUAAUCGGUCGAGGGCAUAACC